rnacentral:lncRNA from 7 species
GAAGGAGCGAGGUCAUGGCCGGCGGCGGCGGCGGAUCGCGGACGGGCGGCGGCGUGGAACCCCUCGGGGAGCGCUGAGCCCCCCCGCCCGGCCCGGGACCACCGCCCAUGGAUCGACUGCUGCUGCUCUGCGCUGCUCUCGCCCUAUUUCUGCCCUAUAGCGCCUCCGACAGCGGAUCCCAGUGCUGCACCACAGACCCAUAAAGACCCAUAGGAUCCAAGUGCUGCACCACACAAACCCGUAAGGACCCAUAUGAUCUGCAUAAUGAACUCAUAAGGACCCAUAGGAUCUGGAUGCUGCACCGUGAACCCAUAAGGACCCAUAGGAUCUGGAUGUUGCACCAUGGACCCACAUGACGGACCCAUAAGGACCCUCAGGAGAUGCAUCUCAAUGGGAUUUCCUCAUAUGGAUCCCCAGGAGAGGCAUCUCAAUGGGAUUUUACGCUGUGUGUUUCCUGUACAGACCUCCCCAGAUCUUUCAUUGAAGCUUGGAAAAUGUUUGUGGAAGUGCAGGAAAUAAAGCUGGAUGCCC